UUGAUUGAAACCAAAAUAGAGGUACAUCACUGUUAAUGAUUAAAUUGAAGUCUACUUCCAAUCAAG
rnacentral:tRNA from 1 species